rnacentral:lncRNA from 1 species
CCCAAACCGCCCCAAAAUCCCAACCCCCAAACUUGAAACAAAACUAAUAAAAAAAUUUAAAUAGUUGGCAGGAUACAAGAGUGAGACAGAGGAAUGUACAAAGGACACACAGAGAUCAAAGAUUCCAGUAGGUGAAUUGAGAACCUGUUGAACUGGGGUCUGUUUUUGUAGGAUUUUUCCUUUUGGAUCAUGCAAAUUUGCAGGAAUUACCAUAACCACACAUCAGGUGUUGGGUUCUUUAAGGGACUUUUGCAGUGUUGAUCACAACCCCUGGUGCUGCCCAAAAUUCCGCUUGAUUUUCCAUCCUCCACCCCCAAAAUUCCAUUUUGUUUUCCAUCCUCCACCACGGCUGUGGGAAACUUCCAGAAGCCCAAAAUGUGGGAAACUUCCAGGAACCCAAAAUAUGGGAAACUUCCAGGAGCCCAAAAUGUGGGAAACUUCCAGGGAGCCCAAAAUGUGGGAAACUUCCAGGGAGGCCAAAAUGUGGGAAACUUCCAGGAGGCCAAAAUGUGGGAAACUUCCAGGAGCCCAAAAUUUGGGAAACUUCCAGGAACCCACAAUGUGGGAGCCCAAAAUGUGGGAAACUUCCAGGAGCCUAAAAUGUGGGAAAUUUCCAGGAGGCCAAAAUGUGGGAAACUUCCAGGAGCCCAAAAUGUGGGAAACUUCCAAGGAGGCCAAAUUGUGGGAAACUUCCAAGAAGCCCAAAAUGUGGGAAACUUCCAGGAGCCCAAAAUGUGGGAAACUUCCAAGGAGCCCAAAAUGUGGGAGCCCAAAAUGUGGGAAACUUCCAGAAGCCCAAAAUGUGGGAAACUUCCAGGAGCCCAAAAUGUGGGAAACUUCCAAGGAGCCCAAAAUGUGGGAAACUUCCAGGAGGCCAAAAUGUGGGAAACUUUCAGGAACCCAAAAUGUGGGAAACUUCCAGGAACCCAAAUUUGCUCUCCAGAUGUGCCACGAGGGUUUUGGGAACCUCUCAUGGAUUCAAAACCAGCCCCCAGCUCAACAGUGCCUGC